rnacentral:sRNA from 1 species
ACUGCCUAUUUACCUAUAGCGAACGCAAGAAAUCUCCUGAUCGUGAACCCAGGGUCCAGCUACAGAGGCACUUGAAAUGCAAGACCUAAAUAAGGUGAUGUAUCCACGGUCAAAGGUUGCUAAGAACAGUCCUCAAACUAAGCUCUGCGAUGAAGGAGUGGAUCUUAACCCCCCAUGCACGAAUAUUUGAUUUUGUUUUUAUUUUUAAUAUUUCAAAUACUUUUAUACAUCUACACAUCAUACGUCGAUCAAUUUGAUAUGCAAAGCAUAUCCAUCGACUAGGCACAAUGCAAAUUCCUCGUCGUGAAAUCAUGUGUAUCAGCUUUUAGAGAACACUCACUUGGUUUUAAAUUAUUUGUGUGCAUUUCUCUGGAAUUAAUCGUGCUGUAUGAAUAUAACAAACAUGUUGCAAUGAAAUCGU